UCCCCUCCGGGGGGCAGCAGUGGGGAAUAUUGCACAAUGGGCGAAAGCCUGAUGCAGCAACGCCGCGUGCGCGUUGCCGGCCGUCGGGUCGUCCCUCUCUUUCCUCCCGGCCGCUCCUGCCGGUCCUUGCGGCGGCCGCCCCGGCUAACUACGUGCCCGCAGCCGCGGUCCUCCGUCGGGGGCUCGCGUUCUCCGGCCUUCCUGGGCGUCCCGGGUGCGUCGGUGGUUUCUUCCGUCCGCGGUUCCCGGCUCCGGCUCCCCCGUCGUCCGCCUUUGCCCCUGGGGCCCUUGCGUGCAGGAGCGGG
rnacentral:rRNA from 1 species